GACCAGUGUGGCGUAGCGGUUAGAGUGUUGGACUAGGACCUGGGAGACUGGGGUUCAAAUCCCCACUUGGCCA